rnacentral:rRNA from 1 species
GGGGAAUAUUGGGCAAUGGGCGAAAGCCUGACCCAGCAACGCCGCGUGAAGGAAGAAGGUUUUCGGAUUGUAAACUUCUGUCCUCAGGGAAGAAGGAAGUGACGGUACCUGAGGAGGAAGCCCCGGCUAACUACGUGCCAGCAGCCGCGGUAAUACGUAGGGGGCGAGCGUUGUCCGGAAUGACUGGGCGUAAAGGGCGCGUAGACGGUUUUUUAAGUCUGGAGUGAAAGUCCUGCUUUCAAGGUGGGAAUUGCUUUGGAGACUGGAAGGCUUGAGUGCGGAAGAGGUAAGUGGAAUUCCCAGUGUAGCGGUGAAAUGCGUAGAGAUUGGGAAGAACACCAGUGGCGAAGGCGACUUUCUGGACUACAACUGACGCUGAGGCACGAAAGCGUGGGGAGCAAACA